rnacentral:rRNA from 1 species
GUACACUCCUGCGGGAGGCGGCAGUGGGGAAUAUUGGACAAUGGGCGCAAGCCUGAUCCAGCCAUGCCGCGUGAGUGAUGAAGGCCCUAGGGUUGUAAAGCUCUUUCACCGGUGAAGAUAAUGACGGUAACCGGAGAAGAAGCCCCGGCUAACUUCGUGCCAGCAGCCGCGGUAAUACGAAGGGGGCUAGCGUUGUUCGGAUUUACUGGGCGUAAAGCGCACGUAGGCGGACUAUUAAGUCAGGGGUGAAAUCCCGGGGCUCAACCCCGGAACUGCCUUUGAUACUGGUAGUCUUGAGUUCGAGAGAGGUGAGUGGAAUUCCGAGUGUAGAGGUGAAAUUCGUAGAUAUUCGGAGGAACACCAGUGGCGAAGGCGGCUCACUGGCUCGAUACUGACGCUGAGGUGCGAAAGCGUGGGGAGCAAACAGGAUUAGAUACCCGAGUAGUCCCAUGAU